ensembl:lncRNA
UAGUCUCUGACCUUUAACAGAUGUAAAAGGGAAAACAGAGAAAUUGGACAUGCUGUGAUGGCUAUUGCCUGUUUUGCAGAGCCUCUCAGCAUAUUGAUCGGGUGGGAGAUGCUUCCAAGAGCUGGUCUAUGACUUAUAAAUCCACCACAUUGGGGGACGAGGGUAUGGGCUUCUAAGACUGUACACAAGAUAAGUCAAAGGGAACCAAGACUGCACAACCUCGCUUUGUGACAAAAGGCAGCAGGAAGCUUUGGCCGAGUUUUGGCAGCGGGCAGACAAUUUCCUCCCCGUGGUUUUUCACACAGUACGAAGCACAUGUAUCCCCCCUCAUAACAGGCUCGGGAGCGACAUUCUUAGCUGAUGCCUCCAGGAGCGUGUUGAUCUUCUGCUAAGAAAGUCAGUAUGGAAUUCAGCUGACAAGACCUUGACUUCUUUCCAUCACCCUGUCAAGGAUUUGAUGGAUGCACUUUCUCCUCUUUCGCUUCCCAGAGUUCUUUCACGGGCAUGUGUCUGCUUAAUGAAGUUGUUGAAGCACUGUCUCCUAACCUUCACCCAUGGGAGACCUGGACACAUUUCCAUACUCAUUGAAAAAUUCCUUUCUGGCAAGUCAGGCCCUGAUGAUGACUUCUUGAUUGGGUUAUAGUAGAAAGCUGUGCUUGGAGUUUUUGCAAGGGGCUCGGCAGGUGGCGCUAAGUGGUAAGAACCUGCCUGCCAAUGCAGGAGACCUAAGAAUCAUGUUUGAUCCCUGGAUUGGGAGGAUUCCCUGGAGAAGGACAUGGCAGCCCGCUCCAGUAUUCUUGCCUGGAGAAUCCCAUGGACAGAGGAGCCUGGUGGGCUACGUUCAUACAGUCGCAAAGAGUCAGACACGGCUGAAGUGACUUGGCAUACAGAGCACACAGCCUGCUUCCUGAAGUAAGGCUCUGGCCACACUUUGUCAUUCCUUCUGCCUCCUAACCAACCAGGGGCCUUCCCCAUGUAGACCUGCAUAAUGUGACAUGUCUCCUUCCCUUGGGAAUUUGUGAACUAUAACAGUCAAGCAUGUGGUUGCAUUAAGGUGAAGAUAACAGAUUAAGUUCAAGAUUUUAUCAAGCUGUGUGGUCACACAGAGAGCAAUAGUCAACAACAGCAAUCCAAUAAUAAAUAAAAUUUAUUUCCU